AUAUCUGACGAGUUUCUGUUUGCAUGUCGUAUCAGAUUGGGCCUCCCUGACGGUGAGGUGUUGCUUUCGAAGCGCCACCCCAGCUGCUCAUUCAGCGGUCGGCCACGAUGCGGCCGACCUAGACGAGUGGGUAACGCAACGGUUUGGAUCCCACAUGACGCGCCCUUCAGACGUGAGCAACAAGCUCCAGAUCUACGGACAGUAUCCAACUGCCCUUCAACCGUGGAUCAAUAUUGGACGGCUGGGAUCUGGAGGCGGGGUAAUAGGAGUCUCUCUCACACUAUUUCACGCUCACCGCUCUUAUCGUAGGAGCCUACUUAUAUAAGUUGCUUCGCCUGACUUCUUUGUCUUUUGGCUUGGCCCGCGCGUCGGGGGUGUCGAGGAGGAAUCUUUGUCCCUCCAUCGGUGCUUCUGCGAGCCUAUUUCUUCGGCGUGGAGGGCUCUAUGGAAACGAUGGUGCGAACAGCGGCAUCUCUGCCAGGCUGUUUUUAGCGUGUAGUGGAGUGAGGUUGAUGUCGAUUCGGUUGUGAUGGCCUGUGUCUUUUCGGAUGCCUGGACGCGGUUACGUUUCUCCUUGUUGAUGUAGUUCAGUGUUUUGGUGCGGUGCUGGUGGCGGCGAAGAGGCGUUGGUUAAGAUGGAGCGGUUUCGUGGAGUUUUUCCUUUCUCUCAGCGGUUUUUGUUUUGGUUUUUUUUCUUGAUGCAAGCGUGUUUCAGAAUACCUUUGAGAUGCUUGUUCAUGCUACGGUGCGUUUGGCGUUCGGCGUGAGAUGCAUGCAGUUGUACCUUAUUGGUACCAAUCAAAGGCAGGCACAGUAACUUACCAGAAGAUUAUGCCCCACUCAAAUAGUGACGGUUCCGCAAUGACUUUGACGAUAUUUUGCGUCGAGGUCAAAGGCUUAAAGAGUUGACGGCCGCAGUCUAGCCAUGGUUGAACUGAAAGUUGCCAGGCUGAUUGGUGUGUCGCAAGACCUUACCCUUAUGGGUGCGCUUACGGGGUGGGUCUACUCUUAAUAAAAUGAUGUUUCGUGGGGUCGGGAGGUUUGAUCCUCUCGCUGGUGUGUGUUGGUCGCGUAUCAUGUUUGUCUUGCUAACCUCUGGCAUAUGUUAAUCUGGCCAUGUCUCCUGUGAAACUGCUCUUUGGAGAUGAUUUUGGGAACAUCAUGGCAUGAAGGAGUUGCCUAAGUGAGUCAACUUCCGUUCGUGAAGUUUUGCGCGUGUCUCCGAGAUCGUGGAUGUGGCGAGUACGUGUGAUUCUUUGCUCAUUCUGUGGACAAGCUCAGAGUUCAAUCACCCGGAUGACCCUAACCAAUUUGUGUUUUCAAUACUCACAAUUCUGAAGGCAAAUGAAGACCGGGUCAAAUUUUAAGGCCAAUUCAAACCCUCUGCCCGACGAUAUCGGUGUACCGCAACUCAUGGCCGGAACUCACCAUUCGAUGCAACUUAUGAAUACGCACAGAUAACUGUCUCCCUCCGAACCCAGUACCUCAACACAAUCUCCUCCUCAUUUGGCAAUUGAUGGUACAUCGCAACGACCACUUACUGCUCAACAACCCUCAUCUUCACUGAGGUAGAAGUGUCUUUGUAACUUCCUGCACCCUUUCUAUACUUAACACUAAAGCGUCUAACGCAGACAAAGAAUUGAUUGGGUAUCAACGUCCAGGUAUAUCUCUAUAUGCACAAUCCUCAUUUGCGACAAUUCUUCAUAUCGUUUUAUUAAGCAUAAGAUUCCUCCUGUAUCUUUCAACAUACCCUCAUCAUAUCUGAUCUGGUUUUCUACCAUUAUUCGUGUGGUCUUUUAUCUGCCUUUGCAUCUCGUUAUCUAGGUUCGUAUCUGAAUUAUCCUUUUCAUCCUGUGUUUCUGCCAGUGUUUUCUACCAGUAAUGUAGGUUUCAACUCUGACCUCAUGUGCAGUCCCUAUUCUAUUCGCAUGUCACGUUGAACAAUUUUUAGUACCUUAAACUAUCUGAUUCAUAUCAUGAUAAGUGAAGCAGUACAAUAGUCUCUAGUUGCAUAUACUUACAGUUUUAUGAGAUAGAUGAAGCUAUAUGUUCAGGUUAGCUGUUACAUGUACAUGUUGAAGUAUGUGGGAUGUCUGUACAAUUAGUUCAGAAAAUACAGUUAGGAAGUUUGAAGGUUAUUGCGAUUGUAUAGAUGGGGAAGUUACUUCACGUGAGCUGGAGGCGGGUUUAUACAUUCUUGCCUCAAGCAAAUGCGAAUGAUAAUGCGCAGAUCGGAAUUUUGGUAGAUGUGUACUGCUUCGAGGAUCUAUCCAUUGCAGUCACCGACGUUCAAAUGCCGUCGUGAUAUCGCGAGAGGGAGGUUAUCAUUGGCAAUCAUUUAAAUUCUGGACAUGGUUGACAGAAAUUUUGACACUAUCUCUGUACACUGUUUCUGUUCGCUCACAUGUUGUAUGUCUAACAGCAUGUCACUUGUACAAGAACUGACAUGCGUCCAUUCAGUGAAAGAGUACCAAGUAGUUUUGAGACCUUAGCUCAAUUUCAUACACAGUGCAUCCUAGAUUCAAGUACAACAGACGUUAGAAUUUCUUUUGCGCAGGUUCUGAAAUGAAGAGAAAUGACGAUAAAUGUUUCUUGUUUCAUUAUUUCCGUUUAACUGGUUGUAGAGUAAGUCGUCAGCGUUUUUUUA